UGUCUUCAUGCUCCACCAACCAGGGCCUGUCCCCAUGCUCCACCAACCAGGCCUUGUCUUCAUGCUCCACCAACCAGGGCCUGUCUCCAUGCUCCACCAACCAGGCCUUGUCUUCAUGCUCCACCAACCAGGCCUUGUCUUCAUGCUCCACCAACCAGGGCCUGUCCCCAUGCUCCACCAACCAGGCCUUGUCUUCAUGCUGCACCAACCCAGGGCCUGUCUUCAUGCUCCACCAACCAGGGCCUGUCUCCAUGCUCCACCAACCAGGCCCUGUCCCUAUGCUGCAUCAACCAGGCCUUGUCUUCAUGUUCCACCAACCAGGGCCUGUCCCCAUGCUCCACCAACCAGGCCUUGUCUUCAUGCUGCACCAACCCAGGGCCUGUCUUCAUGCUGCACCAACCCAGGGCCUGUCUUCAUGCUGCACCAACCCAGGGCCUGUCUUCAUGCUGCACCAACCCAGGGCCUGUCUUCAUGCUCCACCAACCAGGGCCUGUCUUCAUGCUCCACCAACCAGGGCCUGUCUUCAUGCUCCACCAACCAGGGCCUGUCUUCAUGCUCCACCAACCAGGGCCUGUCUUCAUGCUCCACCAACCAGGGCCUGUCCCCAUGCUCCAGCAACCAGGCCUUGUCUUCAUGCUCCACCAACCAGGGCCUGUUUUCAUGCUCCACCAACCAGGCCCUGUCCCCAUGCUGCACCAACCAGGCCUUGUCUUCAUGCUCCACCAACCAGGCCCUGUCCCUGCUCCACCAACCAUGGCCUGUCUCCAUGCUCCACCAACCAGGGCCUGUCUCCAUGCUCCACCAACCAGGGCCUGUCUCCAUGCUCCACCAACCAGGGCCUGUCUCCAUGCUCCACCAACCAGGGCCUGUCUUGGUUCAAGUCAGGAUUUGAAAUGAACAUAAAAGAAUAGGUGAUAUGCACAUCCUAAACUUGAGUAUAAACAGAAUAUUUGCUACUUUAUUAAAGUAGCUCCCUAGACCUCUGUCUUGUUCUAUUUCCAUAUUGUGUGUGUGUGUGUGGCCCCCUCUGUAAAGGUUAAUUCUAUAUCCUGUCUGGCAUAAGUGCUGUAGUCACGUACAAUAGCUGUUGCUGUAAAUAAACCUAGCUUUUCAGGAUGUUGACUCCAUUGAGUUUGUUCCGAUGCCUCAGUCAUAA
ensembl:lncRNA